rnacentral:rRNA from 1 species
GACGAACGCUGGCGGCGUGCUUAACACAUGCAAGUCGAACGGAAAGGCCCUGCUUUUGCGGGGUGCUCGAGUGGCGAACGGGUGAGUAACACGUGAGUAACCUGCCCUUGACUUUGGGAUAACUUCAGGAAACUGGGGCUAAUACCGGAUAGGAGCUCCUGCUGCAUGGUGGGGGUUGGAAAGUUUCGGCGGUUGGGGAUGGACUCGCGGCUUAUCAGCUUGUUGGUGGGGUAGUGGCUUACCAAGGCUUUGACGGGUAGCCGGCCUGAGAGGGUGACCGGCCACAUUGGGACUGAGAUACGGCGCAGACUCCUACGGGAGGCAGCAGUGGGGAGUAUGGCACAAUGGGCGGAAGCCUGAUGCAGCAACGCCGCGUGCGGGAUGACGGCCUUCGGGUUGUAAACCGCUUUCGCCUGUGACGAAGCGUGAGUGACGGUAAUGGGUAAAGAAGCACCGGCUAACUACGUG